rnacentral:rRNA from 1 species
GUACACUCCUACGGGAGGCAGCAGUGGGGAAUAUUGCACAAUGGGCGCAAGCCUGAUGCAGCGACGCCGCGUGGGGGAUGAAGGCCUUCGGGUUGUAAACUCCUUUCGCUAGGGACGAAGCUUUUUUGUGACGGUACCUAGAUAAGAAGCACCGGCUAACUACGUGCCAGCAGCCGCGGUAAUACGUAGGGUGCGAGCGUUGUCCGGAAUUACUGGGCGUAAAGGGCUCGUAGGUGGUUUGUCGCGUCGUCUGUGAAAUUCUGGGGCUUAACUCCGGGCGUGCAGGCGAUACGGGCAUAACUUGAGUGCUGUAGGGGUAACUGGAAUUCCUGGUGUAGCGGUGAAAUGCGCAGAUAUCAGGAGGAACACCGAUGGCGAAGGCAGGUUACUGGGCAGUUACUGACGCUGAGGAGCGAAAGCAUGGGUAGCGAACAGGAUUAGAUACCCCGGUAGUCCCA